rnacentral:misc_RNA from 1 species
AAAACUCCGAAACUAUAACACUUACAAACUUGAAAUUUGGCAAAUAGGUUUUGUAUAGGACGUAAAAGAUAAAACGGGGGUCGGAAGUUUGUAUGAAAGGCCUAUGUUUUUAAAGUAAGAGAUGAAAUUUAAAAUGUAUGCUCUAUAGAUGGUGAAAAGGAGUCCAAAUAAUGUAUCGUAAUCUAUAUAUAUAUAUAAAAGAGAAGGAUCACUGACUCACUCAUCACGAGAACUCAAAAA